GCUCUGGGGACUGCACCAUGGCCUGGACACCACUUGGCCUCCUCACCCUCCUCAUUCACUGCACAGGGUCCCUGUCCCAGCCUGUGCUGACACAACCAUCCUCUGCAUCUGCCUCCCUGGGAGCCUCAGUCAAGCUCACCUGCACCCUGAGCAGUGAGCACAGCAGCUACCGGAUUAAAUGGUACCAGCAGAGGCCAGGGAAGGGCCCCCAGUAUGUGAUGUAUGUGAAGAGUGAUGGAAGCCAGAGCAAGGGCAGUGGGAUCUCUGAUCGCUUCUCAGGCUCCAGCUCUGGGGCCAAUCGCUACUUAACCAUCAGCAACCUCCAGUCUGAGGACGAGGCUGACUAUUUCUGUGGGGCAGCUCAUGGCAGUGGGAGCAGCUACGUGUAA